UGCAAGUCGAACGAACUCUGGUAUUGAUUGGUGCUUGCAUCAUGAUUUACAUUUGAGUGAGUGGCGAACUGGUGAGUAACACGUGGGAAACCUGCCCAGAAGCGGGGGAUAACACCUGGAAACAGAUGCUAAUACCGCAUAACAACUUGGACCGCAUGGUCCGAGCUUGAAAGAUGGCUUCGGCUAUCACUUUUGGAUGGUCCCGCGGCGUAUUAGCUAGAUGGUGGGGUAAUGGCUCACCAUGGCAAUGAUACGUAGCCGACCUGAGAGGGUAAUCGGCCACAUUGGGACUGAGACACGGCCCAAACUCCUACGGGAGGCAGCAGUAGGGAAUCUUCCACAAUGGACGAAAGUCUGAUGGAGCAACGCCGCGUGAGUGAAGAAGGGUUUCGGCUCGUAAAACUCUGUUGUUAAAGAAGAACAUAUCUGAGAGUAACUGUUCAGGUAUUGACGGUAUUUAACCAGAAAGCCACGGCUAACUACGUGCCAGCAGCCGCGGUAAUACGUAGGUGGCAAGCGUUGUCCGGAUUUAUUGGGCGUAAAGCGAGCGCAGGCGGUUUUUUAAGUCUGAUGUGAAAGCCUUCGGCUCAACCGAAGAAGUGCAUCGGAAACUGGGAAACUUGAGUGCAGAAGAGGACAGUGGAACUCCAUGUGUAGCGGUGAAAUGCGUAGAUAUAUGGAAGAACACCAGUGGCGAAGGCGGCUGUCUGGUCUGUAACUGACGCUGAGGCUCGAAAGUAUGGGUAGCAAACAGGAUUAGAUACCCUGGUAGUCCAUACCGUAAACGAUGAAUGCUAAGUGUUGGAGGGUUUCCGCCCUUCAGUGCUGCAGCUAACGCAUUAAGCAUUCCGCCUGGGGAGUACGGCCGCAAGGCUGAAACUCAAAGGAAUUGACGGGGGCCCGCACAAGCGGUGGAGCAUGUGGUUUAAUUCGAAGCUACGCGAAGAACCUUACCAGGUCUUGACAUACUAUGCAAAUCUAAGAGAUUAGACGUUCCCUUCGGGGACAUGGAUACAGGUGGUGCAUGGUUGUCGUCAGCUCGUGUCGUGAGAUGUUGGGUUAAGUCCCGCAACGAGCGCAACCCUUAUUAUCAGUUGCCAGCAUUAAGUUGGGCACUCUGGUGAGACUGCCGGUGACAAACCGGAGGAAGGUGGGGAUGACGUCAAAUCAUCAUGCCCCUUAUGACCUGGGCUACACACGUGCUACAAUGGAUGGUACAACGAGUUGCGAACUCGCGAGAGUAAGCUAAUCUCUUAAAGCCAUUCUCAGUUCGGAUUGUAGGCUGCAACUCGCCUACAUGAAGUCGGAAUCGCUAGUAAUCGCGGAUCAGCAUGCCGCGGUGAAUACGUUCCCGGGCCUUGUACACACCGCCCGUCACACCAUGAGAGUUUGUAACACCCAAAGUCGGUGGGGUAACCUUUUAGGAACCAGCC
rnacentral:rRNA from 1 species